GCGGCCUCCUGGCUCGACACUGACGCUGAGGUGCGAAAGCGUGGGUAGCAAACAGGAUUAGAUACCCUGGUAGUCCACGCCGUAAACGAUGUCUACUAGCUGUUGGGGUACUUGAGACCUUGGUAGCGCAGCUAACGCACUAAGUAGACCGCCUGGGGAGUACGGCCGCAAGGUUAAAACUCAAAUGAAUUGACGGGGGCCCGCACAAGCGGUGGAGCAUGUGGUUUAAUUCGAUGCAACGCGAAGAACCUUACCAAGCCUUGACAUCCUCGGAACUUUCCAGAAAUGGAUUGGUGCCUUCGGGAGCCGAGAGACAGGUGCUGCAUGGCUGUCGUCAGCUCGUGUCGUGAGAUGUUGGGUUAAGUCCCGUAACGAGCGCAACCCUUGUCCUUAGUUGCCAGCACUUCGGGUGGGAACUCUAAGGAGACUGCCGGUGACAAACGGGAGGAAGGUGGGGACGACGUCAAGUCAUCAUGGCCCUUACGGCUUGGGCUACACACGUGCUACAAUGGCAAGUACAGACGGCUGCGAACCUGCGAAGGGGAGCCAAUCCGACAAAACUUGUCGUAGUCCGGAUCGGAGUCUGCAACUCGACUCCGUGAAGUCGGAAUCGCUAGUAAUCGCGAAUCAGAAUGUCGCGGUGAAUACGUUCCCGGGCCUUGUACACACCGCCCGUCACACCAUGGGAGUGGGUUGCUCCAGAAGUGGUUAGUCUAACCUUCGGGAGGACGAUCACCACGGAGUGAUUCAUGACUGGGGUGAAGUCGUAACAAGGUAACC
rnacentral:rRNA from 1 species